UACGUUUCUUUUUGUUAGUCGAUGACGCCACUUUCCAUUCAGUAAGAAUACUAAGUGGUAGGAUGAAACAAGCUCUUCUACAGGCUGCCCUUUCUGUGCAGGAGCCAGCCGGAUUAUGGAGAACAGAAAUCUACGGUCGGGUUAUGACCCCAAAUGCUACAUUUUUCUAAGGAGUGAAACUCGAGACUCGAACUUCGGGUACUUCAGAUGUAAUACAGAAGCAUUACCAGCGGCCAAUCCGACCAAUCAUUUUUAUCAGUUUAAUAGCAUGCAAUACAGUAUUGUAUUAAAAAAUCAUCUCGAUAACAGAAUUCUAUAUAGCAGCGGUUCUCAAGCGAUCAUACACAAGAGAUGACUGAUGAU
rnacentral:lncRNA from 1 species